rnacentral:rRNA from 1 species
UAGGGAAUAUUAGAAAUGGACGAAAGUCUGAUCUAGCAACACCGCGUGUGCGAAGAAGGCCUUCGGGUUGUAAAGCACUUUUUGGAAGGAUUAGGAAGGAAUGUACUUCCAGAAUAAGUCUCGGCUAACUACGUGCCAGCAGCCGCGGUAAUACGUAGGAGGCAAACGUUAUCCGGAUUUACUGGGCGUAAAGCGCGUGUAGGUGGUUCUGUAAGUAGGGCGUGAAAGCUCCUGGCUCAACUGGGAGAGGCCGUUCUAAACUGCAGAGCUAGAGGAUGGUAGAGGGAGGUGGAAUUCCGGGUGUAGCGGUGGAAUGCGCAGAUAUACGGAGGAACACCAGUGGCGAAAGCGGCUUCCUGGCACAAUACUGACGCUCAUGUGCGAAAGCUAGGGUAGCGAACG